CGGCUUCGUCCCCUCUUCCUGUUCACUCGAGGGAGCCACCGCCGCCCCCUCCCAUUCCAAACUCCUCUCUUCCCCGCCUCCCCUCGCCCUGCCGGCCAUCCUCCCCGUCCUCCGCCGCCACCGACCAGCCGCAGCCGCGCUACCAUCCCCUCCCUGUUCCUCUCCCGUGGCAAGUCCUCCGAGAAGCAGCCCAAGGGCAGCCGCCUGCCGCUCGAUGGCCGGACGCCGAGAAGCGCCGCUGCUUUGGCUCCGCCGUCUCCUUCGCCCUGCCUGCCGGAUCCACGCCGUCGUCCUCGCGUGCACACGGCAGGUGCUCCGCCUCUUACUCUCGUUCGGCCAGAUCCACGGUGCACGGCCUCUCGCGCUCGCUCGCGACCCUGAGCCGUGGCAAGGGUUUCAGGCUGGGCAUCGGCUUCGUCGCCGGCGCGGCUCCGGUGGAUUCCGAUGGCUCCUCUCCGUCUCCUCUCUCGCCCCCACGCGCGGCUCCGCUUCCCGAUGGCCAUGAGAUUGUGGCGAGGUUGAGCGUAUGGAGCAGAGGGACCAGGGCCGGCCGAUGGCUUGUUUCCUCUAUACGUACUUGAUGCCAUGCCAAGGUCAACGGCGCCUUGUCCACACCGUCUAAUUGCGAUUUCCGGCUGUUGGGUGUGAUUAGUGCAGGAAGAUCCGUUGCUGCUACAGAACCCAACUCCUGAGCACGUCGGAGUUGAGCAAGAAGACAGGAGGAGGUGUCGAGGAGGAAGAGGCCCCUCUUCCUUUUUGGUCCACGCCGCUACGAAAGUGAUAUUAGGUGAACUUGUUAUACUCUUUCUGGUUCAAUGGAACUUACCUACGCACAUUAGGGGUUUUACUUUAGCUGGUGAGUGUUUGUGAGCGAGAUGGCUGUCGCUUCCGCAUGGAUCCACCUCCUAGCCGUUGACCACUUCAUUGGAAGGCACGUGUAACCUUGAUGGGCAAAUAUGGUGAAGACUUGAAGUUGAUAUACUAAUGUGGUAUAUGAAGCUAUGUUCAAGGGCGUCACACAGGUUUGGAAUCUUCAUUCACAUCUGCACCUCACUUGUUACCUGUGUUCUUGCUUCAGUCUUUUUUUGUAAUCAUAUUCCUAUAUACUGGGCAUCAUUCUGUAUUGCCAGUGCUUUCUAUUAAUCACCAUUUUAAGAAUCAUUCCUAUAUACUGGUUCUUGCUUCAGUCUGAGAUUGAAGUUUCUUGAUUUUAUCCUAUUAGAUUCCAAACCUGACUUUGGGCGAUUGCUUGAGGGAGUUUCCACUUCUCUUUUUGUGUGUGAUUCUUGCUAUAAUGGCCGAAUUGGUCCUGUUGUGUGCAUACUGCUGAAGCACCUAUUGAGUUUAAAUCAUCUGAAGAAUGGGACAGAAGUGAUGAUAAUAAGAUAAUAGUAUUUCUUAAGCCUAUAUUUAGUUUUCCCUUCCUUUUACACUAAAAUGUGUACUAACAUUUCUUGAGAACAGAACUAGGAUAGUGCACAUAUAUGAUUUAUUUAUUCUUCUUUCAUAUUGGAGAGAGUGGUAGUACCUUGCUGAUUACACUAAUUUUGUCCUAUUAGAGGGUUCUGUAUAUUCUCUAGCUACUUAAUGAUUUCUUUCUUGGCUGUGAUUUAUUUGGUAUUUGAGGUGCUAACAAAUAGGAGUUGUGACAGAAAAAUGUCGUUUUAUUUGCUCUCAUGUGACAAGCAUGCCCAGAGUCUUGCGAGUUAUACCCGUGUUGAGAUAUGCUAUGGUUUAUUAUGUCUUUAUUUCAUGUUUAUUUCAGGCUUGUUUUGUGGCCUCAAAUCCAAUGUAUCCUUGAUUCUGUAAUUAUUGAAUAAAUGUCUGCAUUCUGCGUUCAGUUCUGUAACAUAGAAGUGUUGGCGUGCUUCUUUUCAUCUCCAGCCAACUGGUCCAUCAUUUCUCUGGUUUAAUAAAGAGGAAAAUAUUGUUCUUUUUGUAGCUCAGUGGCACUUAUUGCCUUAUGGAGGCUGAUUCUUAAAUUGCCUAAUUAACAAGCAACACUUAAAUGUAGAUGGUUAUCCUUUGCCACUCUUUAGUAAUAUAUCGGAUUUUCCCAUAUCAUGUUCAUGACAAAGAUGUGUAUGUGUGUGGACAUGUGUGUGUGUCUGUGUGUGUGUGUGUGUGCGCGCGUGCGCGUGUGCGUGUGCCAUUGUAUUAGGAUUUAAAGUUUGGGUCUCCUCUGAUUUAGUUACUUCCUCCUCCUAUUCUAAUGCUGAUGCUUUGCUUUUGUGAUUGCAGAUCGACUUGCAAUGUUGAGCAGAUCACCAUGUUAAAAGAUGAGCAUUUAGAGAAGUGUGUGCUCGCCAAGGAUCCAAUGGGUUUCUGAAGAGUUGGCUGCACAUCGUUGGUGUCCGAUGCACUAUCAGCUACAGAGAUUUCCUUGGCGAAGAUCUCGGGACACUCGGGUAAUUUAUUAUUUUCCAUAUGAUCACGAUGUAGAGGCUAGGAGAACUAUCUCCUUUUCAUUAUAUGCAUAAGUAGUGCAGAUUAUUCUGUAGGGAAUUAUUUCAUGUUUUAUCGCAUGUUGCUACUCUGUGUUAGGUGAUCAUUAUAGCCAUAUAAUGCCACUAGAUGUAGUGCCAGAUAUCUCCUUUAUUGCUUCAGUUUUAAUUAAUUAGGAAACUGGAGCAGGGUAUUAAGUUGGAUCCCCCCUCGUUUCUUUGAGACCUUCUGAUCAUGUGCUUAUUUUAGUGGCUCUGUCCUUGGAUGGUCAUUUCUGAUGAGUGAUAACCAGGGCAGUUUCACUUCCAGAAACAAGAGAAGAGGGUCUCACCGAGCCUCCUCAGAGCUCAGCGACUUUCGGCCGUCGGAUGCGUUCGCUUGAUGGAGUUUGGGUCGUCGGAUCAAGCCAUCGGACGUACUCUGCCGUCGGAUCUGGAGUAGCACUAUAGGAAUGAAUAGUUACUGCCUCCUCGCGCUGUCGCUUACUCUGUCUGUUCGACCGGGACUAGCUGACGUGUGGGGCCCCUCGUGGGUGGGCUGCGUUUGUCAGUGACCGUGGCCGCGGGUGUGGCAUGUUCGUCCCGUCGCGCGCACCGACGGGUAAAUAUCCCGCGCCACUGCACGUAAUAUCUUGCCCCCACCGAGGGUAUUUCGGUCUUUUUGCGUCCAGGCCUCGUGCGUGGUGGGCGGUGGUUGGCCCGUGCGGCUAUGGAGUGGGGGAGGGCAGCGGCUUGCCUCUUCGUGCUCCCAUUCGCCCCCUUCUCUCUGGGUCUCCUCUCCUCUCGCCGCCGAUGCUCGUGUCAGAGGCUAUUCUUGCUAGGGCGAUGAUGAUUAACUGUGGCUGAAAUAAGUGUGCCUUUCAGCAAUCGAGGCACCUGUGGGUAUCAAGUUGGAUCCUCCCUCUCAUCCCUAAAAUCAUUUUUGGUCAUGUGAUACUUAUGGUUCUGUCCUUGGAUGGUCAUUCUUGUUGAGUGAUAACCAGGGCAGCUCCACUAUGUAAACAGAUUGAUCUGGUGGUAAGAGAUGACGGGGGUAGGUUAUAUGAUCGAGGAAAGGCGAAUCUGAGCCCACUAUGCAAUUAACCCUAAACCCUUUUUCAUUUGUAUUUAAAGGUGUUGCUUAUUUAUGCUCCAGUGUUUAUAGCCGUUUUAAGUAAAGUUUUCUUCUCUCUCAUACCUUUAUUGCAUAUAAGUUGUUCUUGAUCCUUUAUUGUUUCUUGUUGGUCUUUGAUUUAAUCUGGUUAAGAGUAAGUUGCACUUUGUUAUACUAGAAAGACUCACUCCCAACAAGUUAUCGGUUGAAUGACUUGUUUUAAUUCGUUGUGAUACUAUUACUUCUAUUUUUUUGCAAGUUACCAGUUGUAGCUAUUUGUUCAUGCUACAAAAAAUAAUACUAUAGGAUUUUUUUGAGAUUUUUCUUGAGAUAAUGCUGGAUUGUUCAUGUAAAGAGUGACCGAGGUAGCAUGUCCCAUUUUGUAUCCAUAAACAUUUUUUUGACUGCUGUGAUUAGGUUGCUGGGUUAAUCCGAGCCAUUGAGCAGACAUUUCCUUUCGUUUUCUUUAGUUUGUUCUGAAGCUUUCCCCAAUUCUGUGCGUCACCACUGCAUUUUUUGGAUCCUGCAGUUUGAACACUCUUCCAACUAUAGAGUUUAAAAUAUGUUACCUACAUAAAGAGGAGUUAAAUAAGGAUGAACUUACACAGCUUAUCCUUAUUUUAGCCAUAAGAGUAUUUUGUCUAUAGAGCUGAUACUCUGAAACUCUGUUUUUAUUACUGUAUUAUAUUAUGAAGGUUCAAGUAUUUGGGUUCUAGCUCCUGCUUGGAUAUGGUAGAUGCUUAUUCAUUUUCCUAUUAGGAUUACAUCAUUGAUGUCACUUCCCAACCAAUAUUAAGUUGGCAGUUGUUUAUUUUCUCUUUUGCCUAACACAUCAAAAUCUAGAGCAACACUUUUUGUUGAUUGAUAUUUCCAACAGAUACUGAUUACUUCUCUUUAUUUUAUUGUAUUGUUAGCCAAUUAAAAAGGUUUUGUUGUAGGUGUAUUUUUUUGUAUGGUAUAUAUCAUGCGAGUUAUUUCUAAUGCAUCUUGAUAUUAUCUUAGAAUCAUCUGACUAGAGUCUUGGUCCUUAGAGCUUAGUUAAGUAAAGCAUCUUUUAUAUCAGAUAUCAAAUUAUCUAUACUUGUACUAAGAUAUAAUGUAUCUAACCAGAUUUUCAUUUCUUUAAUGGAGUUUUUAGCACUCAGAUUUAUUUGAAAUAGCUGCUCCUAUAUUUUUGUCAGUGCUUGCUGUACUUAGUUUAAAUGUUUCUUCUUGGUAGGAUCAGUUCUAAAUAGUGGAUGUAAGCAUGCCUUUUCAAGCUUAAGCAUUUGAUUUUUAGCGAUAUGGUGUUCUCUCCUUACAGAUGACCUUCUGCUUUCUUAUUUUUAAAAAUAGACAAGUUGGAUGCAAUUGCCGCCACUCAUGUCGCUACAGGAGUGCGCGCAGGGGGGAGUGGCGGGUCAAGGUGCGCUCAUCGGCGCCGCUGCUGACCGGCAGAUCCAGGCGCACCCUCGGUGCACGCAGGGGGGUGAUCUACGACGACCUCCUGGGCACGACACCGCUGGAGACGGUGAGAAACACGCACUCCGUCCACCAUUGGUCACCGGCAGUAGCAGGACGAACCGUCGCCGUAGCCGCCAGGCUGAACCAUAAGACGCCUCAACAGCGACUGACGAAGUCGUCGAGGCGACAGCCCGGAGGUGAACUCCAGCGACAGCGUGAACUUGGCCGGCGACCGCAAGGACCCAUCCACGGGGUCCCUUCCUCUCUGAAAACGGCCUAAUUGCUGAUAUCUUGCCUCCCCUCUCCUUCUCCCUCUCUUAAUUUUCAAACAAUUUCGGUAUGGUAUUACUGUUAGGUAACCCUACAAACUUUGUUGGAACCUAAAAAAUAGGUACUCCUGAUGGAUUAGAGUGGUUCUGCCUGAAACAACUUCCAAUGAAUUGUUGAAUUAGCCAAUGUCAUAAUUAGUAAAUCCGUGCCGUUAUAUUCUGUAAUGAGAUCACAUUAUGCCCAUGUUUAGAUGACACUGACCCAAGUUUACUUUCUGAUUCCCUUAAUUUCUCUACCUAAUUCUUGUGGCGGCAUGCUUUCAUCAGUUUCAAUACGACGAAGAUGACAGAUCCAACAUGGUAUCCUUUACGGAUGAACAGGAGUUAAGAGGCAUGUGUGUAAGUGUUGCAUAUACUGUUCGAAGAUCUUCCGUGUCAUUCCAAUAUGUACCAUGCCAUGCUACAGAACGAUCAAACAUAUAUUCUGUAUUGGUUUAUUCCUUCGGUGAUUAAUUUCAGGCCACCCAGGCCACACAAAGAAGGCCCACUGGUUUUUUGGACAGGAUAAGUGCACUUCAGGCCACCCAGGGUCGGGCUUUCAGCAGAGACACCAGAGGAGAUACCUUUGUGCGAGACUGCUCUCGGUUGAAAAUAUCCAAAGGUUGGUGCCUCAAGCUAAACUUAUCACCUGUGAUUCUUUCCCUUUGAUCCAUUUGCUCCAUGCAACCCCUUCUCUGGACAAGCGAUAGUUAUAGUCGUCAUGGACUCCGAUGAGAUUCUCGACGAAGCGAUACCCGAGUGGUUGGAAUUGGCAAUCAUAUGCUUCCAGCGGUAUCACUCGCCAUGAUGAGCUCCACCAUUGGUUCUAACUUUGUGUACUUAUCAAGACUGCCAUCUAACUGUCACCAGCCUUUGUAUAAACGCCUUGCUUUUAGUAUUUUGUGAUGUUCGGCUGUCCUGUAAUGUGCUACUUAGUUUUCGGUCCCUUGCUAUGUAACCAACUUACUCUAAUUAUUAAUAAUGGUAAUUCAACUUGUGGGAUGCAUUCAUUUCUA